AAACAUUUAUACUCUUCAGCUGCAUGGGAGCGAGAGCUGCACGGGGGCGAGAGUACCGCCCACACCUUCCAGAGGGAAACAAUAACAACCAUUAUGGGUUACAUCUGCUACCAGCUGAACUUGCCCGUUGGUAUGGACGACAGCACGUCCGUGCCGGCGAGGUGACUCAAGGUUCAAUCAUGGCUAGGCCUACGUCAAGGCUCACCAUGAUGGCUCACCAUAACCUACCGGAACAUCUGCCCAGCAGAUGGAAGAAAUGGAAAGUGAAGAGAGGGAGAUCCGCCCAGCAAGAUCAUUGCCAGAAUGGUGAGAUGAUGAAAGUAUCACUGUGGAGUCAGACAAACCAGUCACAGCUAUGCUACUGUGUCUUCAGAAGUUUAUUACCUGGAAACUGAGAGGCCAGCUAAUUUGAGUGAAAAGCAGUGAGACCCUAUACUACCUCAGACAUUCAGCCUCUUAGUCAUCACUCUGUCAGUGACACAAACAGAAUAUUCUGUGUGCGACCCGCAGGACGCAUGGACCAGCAUGAGGACAUAGACCAGAGAGAUGGGAAAUUCACCUCUGUUCUCUGGUAGCUCUUUCCCACCUCACUCCCAAAAAAGCAAGCAAACUCUCAGUCCCAC
rnacentral:lncRNA from 1 species